UACGUAGGGUGCGAGCGUUAAUCGGAAUUACUGGGCGUAAAGCGUGCGCAGGCGGUUCGUUGUGUCGGUGGUGAAAGCCCCGGGCUUAACCUGGGAAUGGCCAUGGAAACUGGCGGGCUGGAGUGUGGCAGAGGGGGGUGGAAUUCCACGUGUAGCAGUGAAAUGCGUAGAGAUGUGGAGGAACACCGAUGGCGAAGGCAGCCCCCUGGGCCAACACUGACGCUCAGGCACGAAAGCGUGGGGAGCAAACAGG
rnacentral:rRNA from 1 species